rnacentral:rRNA from 1 species
AUUGAACGCUGGCGGCAGGCUUAACACAUGCAAGUCGAGCGGGGUGAUGGUGCUUGCACUAUCACUUAGCGGCGGACGGGUGAGUAAUGCUUAGGAAUCUGCCUAUUAGUGGGGGACAACAUCUCGAAAGGGAUGCUAAUACCGCAUACGUCCUACGGGCGAAAGAAGGGGAUCACUUGUGACCUUGCGCUAAUAGAUGAGCAUAGUUCGGAUUAGCUAGGUGGUGGGGUAAAGGACUACCAAGGCGACGAUCUGUAGCGGGUCUGAGAGGAUGAUCCGCCACACUGGGACUGAGACACGGGCCAGACUCCUACGGGAGGCAGCAGUGGGGAAUAUUGGACAAUGGGGGGAACCCUGAUCCAGCCAUGCCGCGUGUGUAAAGAAGGCCUUAUGGUUGUAAAGCACUUUAAGCGAGGAGGAGGCUCUUUUGGUUAAUACCCAAGAUGAGUGGACGUUACUCGCAGAAUAAGCACCGGCUAACUCUGUGCCAGCCGCCGCUGUAA